GCAUUGGUGAUUCAGUGGUAGAUCUCUCCUCUUCCAUGUGGGAGACCCGGGUUCGAUUCCUGGCCAACGCA
rnacentral:tRNA from 1 species